ACAGCCUCCAACUCCCCAAGUCUGUGCAAAGUACAUACCAGUUGCAUAAUUUCCUCAUGGAAAAGGUUAUAGUGCUUUUGGAGAAUGAAGACCAGAGAAGGCUGGCCUUUAGAAAUGAGGGCUUCCAGACAUCCCAACAUUGUUGCUGUCAACACAUGACAUACUUGCCGGCACUUGGUACCUUUCGCGAUGGCAUGGCAUCUGUUGUGGGCACCAGUGGUGUGGCGAAUCACGUGCUGGUCCUGAAUUCAGACGCCAGGCUGGACUGAGUUCUAGCCUUGGCAUCAUCGCAUGCUACCUGUAUCACCUUAAGAAGAUAUUUAGCCUCUCUGUGCCUCAAUGUCUUUGUCCUCUGUAUAGUGAUAAUUGUGGUUUCCACCUCCUGAAGUUCUUAUGUGUCUCAGGACCAACAUUGGCUAUUUAAGGACCAGCUAAUAAGAGAUCAUGUGUACCAUGCCUACAGGAGACAGUGUUGACAUCAACGAAGAUGAGAAAGUGUCUCCCCA